rnacentral:rRNA from 1 species
ACCUGGUUGAUCCUGCCAGU